GGCUCGUUAAGCUGACGCAGCAAAACAAGCUAGCCAAAGGCAGCAGCGUCGGCCGGCGGCGAAGUUAAAGGCGCUUAGGUGACGCGCAGGAGCCUGUCGUUGGGCGCGCGCGCCGCCGAAACCCAAAUGCAGCGACUACACGCGUAGAAGCCGGUCUAAAGGAGCUUCGGACGCGGGUUCGACUCCCGCCGCCUCCACCA
rnacentral:tmRNA from 1 species